UACGUAGGUGGCAAGCGUUGUCCGGAUUUACUGGGCGUAAAGAGCGCGCAGGCGGUCGUUCAAGUCGCGUGUGAAAGCCCCCGGCUCAACUGGGGAGGGUCACGCGAUACUGAUCGACUCGAAGGCAGGAGAGGGUAGUGGAAUUCCCGGUGUAGUGGUGAAAUGCGUAGAUAUCAGGAGGAACACCUGUGGCGAAAGCGGCUCACUGGACCACAACUGACGCUGAGGCGCGAAAGCUAGGGGAGCAAACAGG
rnacentral:rRNA from 1 species